rnacentral:rRNA from 1 species
CGAGUGGGGAAUAACUUCGGGAAACCGAGGCUAAUACCGCAUAAUACCCACGGGUCAAAGGAGCAAUUCGCUUGAGGAGGAGGUCGCGGCCGAUUAGUUAGUUGGCGGGGUAAUGGCCCCACCAAGACGGUGAUCGGUAUCCGGCCUGAGAGGGCGCACGGACACACUGGAACUGAAACACGGUCCAGACUCCUACGGGAGGCAGCAGUGGGGAAUUUUGCGCAAUGGGGGAAACCCUGACGCAGCAACGCCGCGUGGAGGAUGAAGUCUCUUGGGACGUAAACUCCUUUCGAUCGGGACGAUUAUGACGGUACCGGAAGAAGAAGCCCCGGCUAACUUCGUG